GACGAACGCUGGCGGCGUGCUUAACACAUGCAAGUCGAACGGAAAGACCCUGCUUUUGUGGGGUUCUCGAUUGGCGAACGGGGGAGUAACACGUGAGUAACCUGCACUUGACUUUGGGAGAACAUCAGGGAACUGGGGCUCAUACCGGAUAGGAUCUACUGCUGCAUGGGGGGGGUUGGAGAGUUUCGGCGGUUGUGGAUGGACUCGCUGGUUAGCAGCUUGAUGGGGUGGUAGUGGAUUACAAAGGCUUUGACGGGUAGCCGGCAUGAGAGGGGGACCGGGCACAUUGGGCCUGAGAUAGGGACCAGACGCCAACGGGAGGCAGUAGUGGGGAACCUUGCGCAACGGGCGGAAGCGUGUUGUAGAAACGCUGCGUGCGUAAUGACCUCUUUUGGGGUGUAAACCGCUUUGGAAUGAGACGAAGCGUGAGUGACGGUAACGGAUAAAGAAGCACCGGCUAACUACGUG
rnacentral:rRNA from 1 species